ensembl:lncRNA
GUGUGGUUCAUCAUGUGUUUAGAGGAUAUUCUCAGGUAAAAUCCGCGACAAUGAACUGACAUCAAGCACAUUCACUAUUAAACACAUUCAGCGUUACACAAAGUAGGCCUACAGCAACAGCUCAGUAUUGUGCUCAAACGUUUCAGUAAACACAAAUGUUGGUAAAACCGCGUGCAACAAACAAAUAGACACUAUCCCAUUCACCUGAACAACCUUUCAGUGUCAAUGCAAUCCGUUUCAGACUGGUAGCUACUGUCAGUGUUAAUCACUUCAUUCUAUAUUUUCAUUGCCAAUACAUCAUAAAAAAAGUCUUGUUUAAAAUGACUCCAUACAGGCGAUAUUUAGUGGCACCAAUUUCGCGACCCACGAACAGAUUGUGCAGACUAAAGCAAUAGGCUAGUUUAUUCAUUAAUCGCGUAAACAAAUCCCAUCACUGUAAGAGAGAUGGUUAACUCUUUAUCCUAAUUCCUAAUGAUAUAAAGUUGUCGCAUUGCAUUCUCUUACGCGUAAAGUUAUGAUAAACGCGGGUGAAUAAGCGCUCAAAUAACAGGCAGGGGACGUUUGUUGACGGCACGUCCCCUUGUUUAACCUCCAUACAUUUGAGUAACACACCACGUAUAGUCAUCUGAACAUACUGUAUGUCUGAAUGAGGCUCUGGAGCGUUUGGUUUAUCCAAGGCGAUACGUCAUUGCGAGCUGCAGCGAUUGGCUGGAUUCCGCUCCUUUUCCUCCACAAUUUGCAACCACGAUCGGUCUUCGCCUCCGGAGCAGCGACAUUUCACAGUAGAGGCAGGUGGACUUAUUUCCCCCCAGAGAAAUGAAUGCAAUAUAGCGCGCGCCUUCGCAGGGCUGGACAUUUCCGUUCGCUUUCAGUCUCCUCGAUUCUUCCCUGCAAUACAGACACUGCCUGAACCGGACUAAAUGAGUGCCAGGACCUCGGAGAGACUGGCGCUUUCCAUUCCCCACUGUGCCUUAAACGGAACCGCUCUGGCCGGCAAUGGCACCUGCUUUGAUCGGGUGGAUCAGCUGUUCCAGGCGUUCUCCUCCACCGUCGUGCUUUUCGUGCUCAUCGCGAUGAUCGUUGGGAUAAUAAUCGUGUCCGUCACGACCUUCCACUUUCACAAAAGCAAGAUGAAAAAGCGCAAGAUACAGAAAGCCCAGGAGGAAUACGAGCGCGACAACUGCAGUCCCAAAACGGCCAAAGGCAAGCCGGUGGUCCGGCAGUGCAUCAUGGUGAGACCCCCCGCGGCAGUGCGCAAAAGUGAUCCAAACACGGAGGAUCCUGGCGUGACAGAGGACAAGGGACACUCGGGACAGACCAAGGAUGAGGACUUGUUGGAAUCGGUCGCUGUGUCUUGAUAACGCAGUGCCAGCCUUCGGAGGACGCUGUAAAUAACCUCUGUAUUCCCUAUGAUAUCACCUACGGAAUAUAUCGAUUCUUUGUAUAAGCAUUAGAGUUCGUGGAAGAAAUCUAGGAACGGGUUUCAGUGGUUUUUGAGAAGGACCGAGGGAGACUGAGGACUGCUCAUGGAAUUUCUAUCGUAAUUGUGAGCCAAUCCUAACGGGUUCGAACUAAGAGAGCAUUGAGUAAGAUCCUACUGGA